rnacentral:rRNA from 1 species
UACGUAGGGUGCGAGCGUUAAUCGGAAUUACUGGGCGUAAAGCGUGCGUAGGCGGUUGGCAAAGUCAGCUGUGAAAGCCCCGGGCUUAACCUGGGAAUGGCGGUUGAAACUAGUCGACUCGAAUCUGGCAGAGGGGGGUGGAAUUCCACGUGUAGCAGUGAAAUGCGUAGAGAUGUGGAGGAACACCGAUGGCGAAGGCAGCCCCCUGGGCUGAGAUUGACGCUCAGGCACGAAAGCGUGGGGAGCAAAAGGG